GAGGCCAGUCACCCAUAAAGUAGAAAGCACUACUAACAGCACUGGAGGGUGUAGUGUUUCCUACUUUAUGGAUGAGUGUACUGU
rnacentral:pre_miRNA from 1 species